GAAUAGGGUCUGGUGGAGAGAGGAGAGCUGGAGAGGCGAGUCAGUGUGUGCGGGGCAGCGGCGGUGUGAAGCGUAUUGUCGUAGAUGAAGGAGUGAGCCGCACGCAGACUUAACACGAUGAUCGCAGAGACUUGGAAAAGGAAAAGUUAAGACAAAAAACUGAUUAACCCCGCUGGAAAAAAAUUAGCGAGUGAAGAAAACAUCAACAGUGAAGUGGCAAACAAGUGAUCAGUGAAACCUCUUAAGAAGUAGACGAAAAGUAGAAACCUUAACCACUGAAAACAAGGACGAAAACAAGAUUGAAAAGGAGAAAAAAAAACACUGAAAUACACCAAGAAAAACAAAAAAGAAAAACAUGUAGGGAAAGAUCUGAAACGGUCUAGUGAUUUGCGUUGGAAAUAAAA